UACGUAGGGGUGCGAGCGUUUGUCCGGAAUUAUUGGGCGUAAAGAGCGUGUAGGCGGCCCGGUAAAGUCCGCUGUAAAAAGUCAAAGGCUCAACCUUUGAAUGUCAGUGGAUACUACCGGGCUAGAGUCCGGAAGAGGCGAGUGGAACUCCUGGUGUAGCGGUGAAAAUGCGCAGAUAUCAGGAGGAACACCAAUGGCGAAGGCAGCUCGCUGGGACGUGACUGACGCUGAGACGCGAAAGCGUGGGGAGCGAACAGG
rnacentral:rRNA from 1 species